rnacentral:sRNA from 1 species
UAUAAAGUUGAUUUACUCAUAAACUUUAAAAUAUGUGAGUUAAGGGAUAUUUUUCGAUAAAUUCAAGUCCCGUUUGUCGCUAGUAAUUAUAAAGCGAAGUCUUAUCAGACUAAUUGAUUGAACUUUAUUUUUCGAAUAAUCCCAUUGUCAGGAAUACGCUUCCUAUAUUUGUAAAUUUACUAAAUUUCAGGCGGACUAUCAAUCAUUUAGAUUGCCUCCCAACUCAAC